rnacentral:rRNA from 1 species
GACGUAGGGCGCGAGCGUUGUCCGGAUUUAUUGGGCGUAAAGAGCUCGUAGGCGGCUUGUCGCGUCGACUGUGAAAUCCCGCGGCUCAACUGCGGGUCUGCAGUCGAUACGGGCAGACUAGAGUGCGGUAGGGGAGAUUGGAAUUCCGGGUGUAGCGGUGGAAUGCGUAGAGAUCCGGAAGAACACCGGUGGCGAAGGCGGUCUGCUGGGGUCGAACUGACGCUGAGGCGCGACAGCGUGGGGAGCAAACAGG